rnacentral:rRNA from 1 species
UACAUAGGUUUCAAGCGUUGUUCGGAUUCAUUGGGCGUAAAGGGUGCGUAGGUGGUGUGGUAAGUCGGAUGUGAAAUCCCGGGGCUCAACCCCGGAACUGCAUUCGAAACUGCCUUGCUCGAGUACUGGAGAGGAGACUGGAAUUUACGGUGUAGCGGUGAAAUGCGCAGAUAUCAGGAGGAACACCGAUGGCGAAGGCAGGUCUCUGGGCCGAUACUGACGCUGAGGAGCGAAAGCGUGGGGAGCAAACAGG